UACGAAGGGGGCUAGCGUUGUUCGGAUUUACUGGGCGUAAAGCGCACGUAGGCGGAUCGAUCAGUCAGGGGUGAAAUCCCAGAGCUCAACUCUGGAACUGCCUUUGAUACUGUCGAUCUGGAGUAUGGAAGAGGUGAGUGGAAUUCCGAGUGUAGAGGUGAAAUUCGUAGAUAUUCGCAAGAACACCAGUGGCGAAGGCGGCCAACUGGUCCGGUACUGACGCUGAGGUGCGAAAGCGUGGGGAGCAAACAGG
rnacentral:rRNA from 1 species